AGAACUUAGCAGAGAUGCUUUGGUGCCUUCGGGAACUCUGAGACAGGUGCUGCAUGGCUGUCGUCAGCUCGUGUUGUGAAAUGUUGGGUUAAGUCCCGCAACGAGCGCAACCCUUAUCCUUUGUUGCCAGCGGUUAGGCCGGGAACUCAAAGGAGACUGCCAGUGAUAAACUGGAAGAAGGUGGGGAUGACGUCAAGUCAUCAUGGCCCUUACGAGUAGGGCUACACACGUGCUACAAUGGCGCAUACAAAGAGAAGCGACCUCGCGAGAGCAAGCGGACCUCAUAAAGUGCGUCGUAGUCCGGAUUGGAGUCUGCAACUCGACUCCAUGAAGUCGGAAUCGCUAGUAAUCGUGGAUCAGAAUGCCACGGUGAAUACGUUCCCGGGCCUUGUACACACCGCCCGUCACACCAUGGGAGUGGGUUGCAAAAGAAGUAGGUAGCUUAACCUUCGGGAGGGCGCUUACCACUUUGUGAUUCAUGACUGGGGUGAAGUCGUAACAAGGUAGGCGUAGUGCU
rnacentral:rRNA from 1 species